rnacentral:snoRNA from 1 species
CCCCUUGAGAUUCCUUUCCCCUCGGGUCUAAAUAUUGGCCUGAGUGGUUAAUAAAGGAGAGAAAGUCAAACUGACGUGGACUUCUGGGAGUCCUUAGUGACAUACAAAUUCGUUUCAAACAUAC